UACAGAGGUCCCAAGCGUUACUGAGAAUCACUGGGUUUAAAGGGUGCGUAGGUGGUCCGUUAAGUUUGUUGUGAAAUCCCCGGGCUCAACCCGGGAAUUGCUUCGAAUACUGGCGGACUUGAGGCCUGUAGGGGUCACUGGAACAGACGGUGGAGCGGUGAAAUGCGUAGAUAUCGUCUGGAACGCCUGUGGUGAAGACGGGUGACUGGGCGAGGUUCUGACACUGAGGCACGAAAGCGUGGGGAGCGAACGGG
rnacentral:rRNA from 1 species